rfam:Sistotremastrum suecicum HHB10207 ss-3 unplaced genomic scaffold SISSTscaffold_23, whole genome shotgun sequence.
ACGCCGAUGGUGAAAUGGUUAUCAUACUUGCCUUCCAAGCAAGUGGUAGGGGUUCGAUUCCCCUUCGGCGUA